rnacentral:misc_RNA from 1 species
AGUCAGGUUUUAGAAUGCGAAACAAAUUAUUAUUAUACAUGUGUCGUUUUAUUUGUUUUUUGUGUGUGUUUUAAUUGUAAUCAGUACAAAGUACUUUGUGGCCCGUUUCAGACCAAUAAACCGAAAAAUGUCUAGGGACAUGAACGUCACGGGACCAGAAGAUGAGAACCUUGAAGGUGAGAGCGACAGCGUGAACCAGACGGGUAGGAGGGGACAAAAUUCGUGUUCUCUACGGUUUCCAUCAUCACAAUUACGGGCUCCUACCUCGGUUAUGGAGAGAUUUCGUCGUCGCGCGUUUGGUCAGAAUUUCAAUUCUAGAAGUAACCCUGCUGAUACUUCAAGUCGUAGAAAAAAAAAGAUAGCUUUUAUAUUGAAACGACCGGUGUCUGUUCUGGAAAAUCCAGUAUCUGAGGAAGAGCAAUCUGUGGAAGAAUUGGAGUCUGUUGAGCAGCAAUCACUGUCUGAUGUAGAGCAAGAGGUGCCUGACCUUGAACAAUCGGUGAGAAUUGUUGAACAAUUGGUGUCCGUUGUUGAAGAAACGGUAUCUGAAAUGGAGUCACCAGCGCCUGUCUGUGAACAACCGAUUCCUGUCGUUGCACAAUUGCUCUCUGUUGCGCAGCAAACACUGACCCUUGUGGAGCAACCAGGGUCUGUUGUUAAGCAACCGGGGCUUGAUGAAAAACCGACGCCUAUCGUUAAACAAUCGGUGUCCGGCGUUGAAGAAUUUGUGUCUGGAGAGGAAUCACCAGGGCUCGUGUGUGAACAACCGGUUUCUGACAGUGAGCAAUUGAUGUCGGUUGCGCAGCAAACAGUACCUUUUAUAGAGCAAUCAGAUUCCGUUAUCAAGCAACCGGUGCCUGACGAUGGAACCUCAGCGACUAUCGUUGAACAAUCGGUGUCCGUCUUUGAAGAAAUGGUGUCUGAAGAGGAGUCACCAGGGCCUGUGUGUCAACAACCGGUUCCUGACGGUGAGCAAUCGCUGUCUGUUACGCAGAAACCAGAUUCUGUUGUUACCGUUGAACAGUCGAUGUCCAUCUUCGAAGAAAUGGUGCCUGAAGAAAACUCACCAGGGCGUGUCUGUGAACAACCGGUUCAUGACGGUGAGAAAUCGCUGUCUGUUGCACAGCAAACAGUGCCUUUCGUAGAGCAACCAGAUUCUGUUGUAAUGCAACCGGUACCUGACGAUGAAAACUCAGCGACCAUUGUUGAACAGUCGGCGGUGUCCGUCGUUGUGGAAAUAAUUUCUGAAGAGGAGUCACCAAGGAUCGUGUGUGAACAACCGGAUUCUGACGGUGAGCAAUCGCUGUCUGUUGCGCAGCAAACAUCACCCUUCAUGGAGCAACCAGAUUCUGUUGAUAUCGUUGAACAGUCGGUGUCCUUCGUUGAAGAAAUGGUGUCUGAAGAAGAGUCAUCAGGGCUCGUGCGUAAACAAUCGGAUUCUGACGGUGAGCAAUCACUGUCUGUUGCGCAGCAAACAGAACCCUUUGUGGAGCAACCAGAUUCUAUUGAGGUCCUCGUUGAAGAAAUUUUGUCUGAAGAGGAGUCAUCAGGGCUCAUGUGUAAACAACCGGUUCCUGACGGUGAGCAAUCACUGUCUGUUGCGCAGCAAACAGAACCCUUUGUGGAGCAACCAGAUUCUAUUGAGGUCCUCGUUGAAGAAAUUUUGUCUGAAGAGGAGUCACUAGGGCUCGUGUGUAAACAACCGGUUCCUGACGGUGAGCAAUCGCUGUCUGUUGCGCAGCAAACAGAACUCUUUGUGGAGCAACCAUAUGCUCUUGAAGUCCUCGUAGAAGAAAUUUUGUCUGAAGAGGAGUCACCAGGGCUCAUGCGUAUACAAUCGAAUUCUGACGGUGAGCAAUCGCUGUCUGUUGCGACGCAAACAUCACCCUUCAUGGAGCAACCAGAUUCUGUUGAUAUCGUAGAACAUUCGGUGUCCGUUGUUGAAGAAACGUUGACUGAAGAGGAGUCACCAGGGCUCGUGCGUAAACAAUCGGAUUCUGACGGUGAGCAAUCGCUGUCUGUUGCGCAGCAAACAUCACCCUUCAUGGAACAACCAGAUUCUGUUGAUAUCGUUGAACAGUCGGUGUCCGUCGUUGAAGAAAUGGUAUCUGAAGAGGAGUCACCAGGGCUCGUGUGUGAACAACCGAUUCCUGACGGUGAGCAAUCGCGGUCUGUUGCGCAACAAACAGUACCCUCCGUGGAACAACCAUAUUCUAUUGUUGAGCAACCGAUUCCUGACGAUGAAAUUUCGGCGACUAUCGUUAAACAGUCGGGGUUCGUCGUUGAAGAAAUGGUGUCUAAAGAGGAGUCAGCAUCGCUGUCUAUUGCGCAGCAAACAGUACCUUUUGUGGAGCGACCAGAUUCUAUUGUUGAGCAACCGAUGGCUGACGAUGAAAAAUUGGCGCCUAAUGUCCUUGAACAAGAAGUGCCAUCUGGGCAGCAACCAAUGCAUGAUGUGAGGCGUCAAAAUGAUGUAGAGUUUCAAGCACAGCUCCAAAUUGUGAGAGAAAUGUGUAAUACAGCAAUGAACAGUAUACCAUUUCUCGCCGAACCGGUACAGAACUAUUCCAGUUUUGCAGACGAGAACUCGAUCAAUGUCAUAGAAUUUCUCAGACAGCAAUGUCGAAGAAUCUUUUCGGAUAAAGUCCUGAAAGCCGUCAACACCUCCGCCGCCGGUACGUCUGCCCCUCCUCAAUCUGGAAGCGAUGAGAACAACCGUCAAGCGGGCUGCUCGAGUUCUCAGAGUUGUAGACAAGUACAGCAGGAAUUAUUGAAUCGUAUGCAAGAUUGUGUCAAGGCGUUUUUCAAGCAAAGAUGGGAAAUUGAACAGCUGAAGCUGUCUCUCGAAAUGAUGCAAAUCGAGGUAGAAAGUCUUCGAAGGAUCGCCGAUCACCCCACUCGAAAUUGGACGUCCGCACCGUUCGACCACAAUCCUUUCCCAGAUCAAAGAAACACUAACUACCCAUCGACCUCUUCUGGGCCUAACUUCAACCAAUACGGCCAGCAACCUCCUUUCACGCCUAACUUCAACCAAUUCGGCCCACCCCCUGCUUUUCCUCCGAACCAGAAUUACGACAACAACAGUAAUUGGAAUUAUCCUUAUUUGAAUUCUCCUCUGAAUACAGGAGUCCCUUUCGGAGAACAAGCAAACAGCAGCCAAACUCAUCCGAACCAAAUGUUGAACAGGUCAUUCCCAAAUAUUCCGCCUCCCAACAUGAACAGAUCUGAUAAUAGUUGGAAUCUCAGAAGCCGAUCUCACCAAAAUCUAUUUUCCGACUACCCAUCUUCUUCUGGGCAACAAUCCGGCAACAACGAAGGUAUCUCUAAUUAUAUGAAGUCUUCCACAUCUCAGCCUAACGUCGACAACCAACGAAGUAAUCAAUACGCGUGGCCUCCUACAUCCAGCGAUCCCCAACAAUUCGGCAAUAACCAAAGAGUUUUUCAAUUUAAUGUUCCACCUCCUACACUAGGCUAUAACCAAAGAGGCAAUCAGUACAGGGAGCCAACUCAGCAACGAAGUGAUCGGAACACAACUCCGUUAAUCUCGCCAAAUUUCACCAGAAAUCAAAGGGGCAGACAUAAUUCCCAGUCGACCAAUAAAACUCCCAUUCGCCAAAGAAACAUUCAGGACACAACAACUCCUGAACGACCUAAUCAAUACAGGGGACCUCCAGUGCCUACCUCACAGCAAUUCGUCGACGACCAACAAGAUGAUCAACAGCCGGCCCUUCCUUCAUGUAUGUACCAGCAAGCUAAUUACCAAAGACCUACUCAUUUCGUGGAGUCUCCUACACCUAGUUCCGCACGAAGCCCAGUUGUGCCUAGUCAGGAAUGCAAUUCAGCAGUUCUGAAAAAGUUGAUAGACGAUAUCAUCAACAGUUCUCUGGUUGAUUUUGAAUCGACAGACGUUCGAUGCCAGAUUCGAAAAGAAAAAAUGUUCGAGGCUGUGUCUGCUCUCUUCAGAACCUAUAGCAAUAUUCCCGAGUUUUUACCCAAUCUGAUUCGAGAACUCUUCAAUCUUGGAGCCAAUCUCUGGGACUCGGGCAUGUUCGAAGUAAUACGAAGGGUUGUUUUGCAGGAAGUUCCCCAACCUUUUGGUAACGUGCGUCUAACCCCCAAUGAGCAGGUGGCGGCUGAGGUUUUGGAAAGCUUAAGCAUGAACACAAAUGAUUUUUCGGUUCCUCCUACUAUGAACACGUUCAAUACAUUCACUCUCAGUAGUUUCAUCCAGCUUCCAGAUUGUGAAGUAUUUCAAGACAUGUAUGACCUAUUGAAGGAAAUUGAACCGUUUUUGAAGAAACACUCAAACAGGACUUUUGAUAGAGAACUACUCGAAUCCUUGAGAAACUAUAUAGUGGAAUCAGCCAUGUUCGCGAGAUUCGUUUACGAACCGGCUUUCCGCAACCAUUUUUCCUCACUUCUGGAUAGAAUGCUGGCUCAGUACUGUAGAAAUACUGUUUCACAUGUUACAAACCAUUUGAACCAAUCGUUAGAGAUAUUUGUCGCGCCAGAAAUCGGAUUGUAUCAGUAUUUGCAGAGGCAUUAUCCCAUUACAGAUGAAGCGAGUGGUUUCGAUUUUAACAUUCCAGAAAUACAACCUCCCUCAGAAGCAAAUGAACCUACUACCACAACUGGCGAGAGUGUAAAUACAACUGGAAAACCAAAUAAUUCAAGAGGCAAUAAUAAAAAGAAGAGGAGAAAAAACAAGAAGUGGCACUAACGUAUUUGGGCCAUUUUAGGGAAGUAGUGAAGCAAAUAGCAGUCAGACAGAUGUCGUUGUCAAGAACCCGAUUACGUCAUCCACUCCAAAAAAAGGGAGAAAAUGAUGCGACAAUUCUCC